GAUGAACGCUGGCGGCGUGCCUAAUACAUGCAAGUCGAGCGAACGGACGAGAAGCUUGCUUCUUUGUUGUUAGCGGCGGACGUGUGAGUAACACGUGGAUAACCUCCCUAUAAGACUGGGAUAACUUCGGGACACCGUAGCUAAUCCUGGAUAAUAUUUUGAACCGCAUGGUUCAAAAGUGAAAGACGGUCUUGCUGUCACUUAUAGAUGGAUCCGCGCUGCAUUAGCUAGUUGGUAAGGUAACGGCUUACCAAGGCAACGAUGCCUAGCCGACCUGAGAGAGUGAUCGGCCACACUGGAACUGAGACACGGUUCAGACUCCUGCGGGAGGCAGCAGUAGGGAAUCUUCCGCAAUGGGCGAAAACCUGACGGAGCAACGCCGCGUGAGUGAUGAAGGUCUUCGGAUCGUAAAACUCUGUUAUUAGGGAAGAACAUAUGUGUAAGUAACUGUGCACAUCUUGACGGUACCUAAUCAGAAAGCCACGGCUAACUACGUG
rnacentral:rRNA from 1 species